rnacentral:rRNA from 1 species
UGGGGGAUAUUGCACAAUGGGCGAAAGCCUGAUGCAGCGACGCCGCGUGGGGGUUGAAGGCCUUCGGGUUGUAAACUUCUUUUGCUCUGAACAAGGCAUGCCUUUGGGGUGUGUUGAGUGUAGGGGUUGAUUAGCGCCGGCUAACUACGUGCCAGCAGCCGCGGUAAUACGUAGGGCGCGAGCGUUGUCCGGAAUUAUUGGGCGUAAAGGGCUUGUAGGUGGCUGGUUGCGUCUGUCGUGAAAGCUCAUGGCUUAACUGUGGGUUUGCGGUGGGUACGGGCUGGCUUGAGUGCCGUAGGGGAGGCUGGAAUUCCUGGUGUAGCGGUGGAAUGCGCAGAUAUCAGGAGGAAUACCGGUGGCGAAGGCGGGUCUCUGGGCUGUUACUGACGCUGAGGAGCGAAAGCGUGGGGAGCGAACAGG